CCGAACCGCGCCCCCCGCCCGCGGACGAGCGCACGUGAGCGCGCGCCGCGCUGUUUUCUAAGAUUAGCUCGGCGGCUUCGGUGGGGUCGCGCGAGCUUGGAUGUUGUAUUAGUCAGCUUGGGCCACCAUAGCAAGAUGCCACGGCCUGGGUGGCUUGAACAACAGAUCUUUCUUCUUCUCACAGUUCUGGAGGCUGGAUGUCCAAGACCCAGGGGCCACAAGGUUGUUUGCUGAUGAGAUUCUGCAUUCAGAAUCCAGACACAAGCUCUCCACGGGGAAGUACAUGCACUGUGCUUACUUUAAGGAGAGAGAGUGUCCAUCAUCUCACACCCAGGAGAUCUACUGUAACCACCAUGUCCGCGACUUAGAUGUUGGAAGAGUCACAUCUGUAGUCCUCCAGGGCAGCCUGGUGCCUGAGAGGCCUCAGUGUCCCCUCCUGUCAAGUGGAUUGAUCGCAAAGGCCCAAGGGACACCGUUGGCAAGAAGACGAAGCCCAUGAGCUACAGCGUCGGGACCCCGGGUCCAGAUCUCCAACUGCCCGAGGAGCUUCCGGCUCAUUCCCAAGCCAUCAGCAGAACCACAUACCUGUGACUUUCGGCCAUCUCUUCCUACCUGCACCCCCACCAGCCUGCCGUGAGCCACCAAGGGCCCUAGUUGGGUUUGCUGUGGUCUCCUUCACGCUCUUUCUGCUUCCACCCCUGGGCCCUGCAGUGUUUUGUGAACUCGGCAGCCAGGCUAUCCUGGGAAGAUGAAAAUCAGCUGAGUUCCCUCCUCAGCUCAAACCCCAUCCAUAGGUGGUCCUUGUCACCUCUCCAUGGAGGUCCCAGCCCCCCACCCCUGCUCACCCCACUCCAGCUGCCGUGGCCCCCAGCACACCAGGUACACCCCCACCCGGAGGCCUUGGCAUUGGCAGCUUUGCUGGGACACUUACCCCCACUCCCGGUGUCUGCCUGCCUGCUCCCCUGCCUCCUGGAACUAGCUUCACUCCCCAUCCGUACGCAAACACCAGCUUUUCAGGGACGUCUUUCCCAACCUCUUUCAUUCAAAUUGCCCCCCCCCAUUUUCUGUCACCCCUUUUUACUUUAUUUUUCCCCGUGACACUGCCCACCAAACAUACUGUGUACAUUAUUUAUUUUGCUUAUUAUUUUUCUCCCCUAAAUGGAAUGUUAAGUUCCCUAAGGGUGGAGGUUUUUUAUCAGACACACAGUAAGUGCUCAAUAAAUA